GACGAACGCUGGCUGCGUGCUUAACACAUGCAAGUCGAACGCUGAAGCCGACAGCUUGCUGUUGGUGGAUGUGCGGCGAACGGGUGAGUAACACGUGAGUAACCUGCCCCUGAUUUCGGGAUAAGCCUGGGAAACUGGGUCUAAUACCGGAUACGACCACCUGACGCAGGUUGGGUGGUGGAAAGUUUUUCGAUCGGGGAUGGGCUCGCGGCCUAUCAGCUUGUUGGUGGGGUAAUGGCCUACCAAGGCGACGACGGGUAGCCGGCCUGAGAGGGCGACCGGCCACACUGGGACUGAGACACGGCCCAGACUCCUACGGGAGGCAGCAGUGGGGAAUAUUGCACAAUGGGGGAAACCCUGAUGCAGCGACGCAGCGUGCGGGAUGACGGCCUUCGGGUUGUAAACCGCUUUCAGCAGGGAAGAAGCGAAAGUGACGGUACCUGCAGAAGAAGUACCGGCUAACUACGUGCCAGCCGCCGCAGUAA
rnacentral:rRNA from 1 species